GAAGAAUCGUACAGCAGUACAAAUAAUUUGGGUACAAUGUUAAUUUACAAACUUCAAACACUUAUACCAGUGUUCAUUGCUACAUCACACAAAUGAAAUAGAAACAUGUCAGCCGCAACAACGACAACUUCCUUCGCGAUUCAAGUCAUGAACUCAAUCUUUAAGGGUGGUUGGACGGCGGCGGCGGAGGGCCGGCAGGAGCAGUAGGAGCCUUCGGCAACGCCCGUGGCUCAAACUACGGUCGACGGAGAGGAGAUGUUAGUAGUUAUUUUCGAAGGUUAUAAAGUAAACCCAAGUGCCCUCUUCUCCUCUCGUACCUUACCAAGCUCAUUCAUCGACUUGUUGACUUCUGCGUUCAGUAAUCUCUUGAAUUCUUCGAUGUGUACUAUAGGCAGUGGUCAGGCGACAAUACAACUCUCGACGAUGCGAACACUCACGCAUAACAUUAACGGUCGUGGCCUUCUGCAUCGAUUCGAGGAAACGCAUCUUAUCUCCCCUGAUCUCCUCUGUGAGGUCUAAGGUGACAAAUAAGCACUUGCGACCACAGAAGAUCAGGUCAACUCACCGGUAGCCACAGCUCUCAAAAGCAUCUCGUUUUCAUGCCUCUGUCUCUCCAAGACCUGUAGGAUCUCCGCAGUUGCUGGUCCGUAGUUAGCAAGCAAACUGAAAGCUAGCAAAAGGUGACUCACUACCCUCCUGGUUAGCUUGUCUCUGUUGGUCCUGACCCAUCAUCAUGACAAGCGUAUCCAAUCUCUGGCCCGUCAUGCCAUCCACCUCGUUUCGAUGCUUCUGUUCAACCAACAUGCUGUGCAUAUCGGCUACCAGCGCCGGCAGUCCCUGGGGUCCGUCUGAAGACUCUGAUCCGACAAGAGUAUCCAAGCGUUUUGACAUAAUACCGAGCUCGGCAGAACUGUUCUGGACAAAUUUCUCAAGCCAACCAUUAAGCUUGCGCUUUUUGGGACCCUCUCGCUUCAUCCAGCUCUUUCAAGAUACCCAUAGCUUCCUCCAUCUUCUUCACAGUCUCCUCUGGAAACUGUGCUGUUGUGGCGAUGGUUGGCGAAGAUAAUUUGGCAACGGCCAGCUGAUGUGAAGGAGCUUCAUCCUUUUCACCGUGGCCACGUUCGGAUGGUGUCGGGACAUUGCUGAGUACAUGUAGCUCCUGCUGUUUUAAAGGUUUGAGUUCGUCGGGCUGAGACAAUACCACUUCUUCUCCUGCGUAUUUUUCUUCUUCAUUCUUCUCUUCCGGCCUUGCUACCUGUUCUCCAACCAUCACAUUUUCGACUUCAUUAGACGUCCCAAUCUCUUCUUUGAAUGAGGGAACAGGCUUUCGGCUCGCUACCGAUAUGGGAGUGACUGGAGCAGCUGAGCUUUCCAUUUUUUUGCGCAUGGCGGUGGAGAAACGCUCGACAGAGGGGCCAUUAUCCGUCCCAGCCGCUUCACCUUCCGAAAGAAUCAUUCCAACUUUUCCGUUAUGAGGUUUUCCUUCGAAAUUGAUCAGUUUAGGCACAUCCGUUGUCAUUAUUGCAUCUUUCUCAGUCACCCUGCUACUAGUUGUCGCCUCAUACUGCCGAUCGAGGAAGGCCUGGUAAAGGGCGGUCAGAUGAUCAAGUUUUCGGUGAAUUUCUGAUACAUCUGAUGGUACCGGCAGAGGCACGACCUCCUUCUGAAUAGCUUCGACCGGAGCCCUAAGGGCGAAGAGCUCAGGCACGAUCAUAGGAUGGUCGUUCUUCAUCCUUUCAGGAACUGCAAAAGACGUUUUUUGCGGAGACUUGUCUUCGUUCGCUGAAGUCAGAGGACUUCUAGGAGCAUCGGCAAGCAAGCGAGAAGUGGUGUGUUGAGAAGCUUGAGGAGCGAGCGGAGCUGGCAUAAUGAGAUGAGCAGGCCGCAGACGUCCAGACAUUGGUGGUUGUAUGGGUGUUGGAGAUACAGGUUCCAAGUUAGGAGCUGCGGCUGCCAGGGCCUUCUCAGGGGGAAGGUCUGCAAGCUCGACAGCCUGAGGAUGAGGCAUAUCUUCCAUCCCGAUGUUACGUGGUUUUGAUUUGAAUGGCACCGGCAUCGCCACUGCCGCUGAUCCCGCGAAAGAAGCGCUCGAAACCCCUGUCGGACCACAGGAAACGGCAGCUGGAUCAUUUGCAGUAUGCUCCAUGGCCACUACGUUCCCGAUGGCUCCUAUAUCCUGCUGGGCUUUCGUCUCUUCAAUAAGUUUCCGUACCAUCGCAAUUUCCGCAUAUAAUGCAUUAAGCCUCUCUUCCAAGGCCUUCGGGUAAGGAGCAGUCUCUGGAUCAGCCAUUGAAGCGGUACGGCCUUCUAGGCUUUCAAGAUGCCCAUACACCUUAUCCAAAUCCAAAGGUUCUUGCGCAGCUGCAGGAGGAGAAAGAUUGUCUUCUUCAACAACGGAACCUUUUUCUUGACUGGUCUCCAACAAACUGCGUCGUACGACCGUUAAAUCUUCAUGGAGGGCCCCUAAUUUCUCCUGAAGAGCUUUGGGAUAAGGCGCGGUCUCAGGAUCAGACAUGACUCGAGACUGAUCCACCAGAACCUCAACAUUUUGUAGAAUUUUACUGAGAUUGGCGGAAGGCAGGGUUGCAGGCACAGCAAGCUCUUCAGUAGGCGGCAAAGGGUGCACAUCAUUGAGGAUGGGAGAAGAUUCCAGUUCGAGAGGCAGGGCUACAGGAGGGCCGGGAAGCGACUGGGUAGUAUCACCUUCAGGACCGUAAGGACUCUUUUUCAUCGUCAUUACGCUCGCAGAUCUCGCGGAAAUCGCUCGAGUAAAAAAAGGAGUCAUGUCCUUUUCCUUACUUUCAACCUCACCAGGCCCGGAUGAUCCCGCUGAGGUGGGAGAGGGCGCCUUAUUUUCUUCGGUUUUUUGUCCAUUUUGCUUGUUUUUCUCCUCGUCGCUCAUGUAGAGCUUACUGGGCACUCUAUGCGACAACAACGAGCUUCUAUUCUUCGGCCGCUGAGACGCACCCGAUGCUGAUAUCGGGCUUGGGCUCGAAACUGCUCCCAUUACAAGAUCUCGCGAAGUCGAAGGCUGAGCUACAACAGCAGGUGUGACGGCUCUGGUAGGAGGUGUCGUCUGGGAAGUUGCAGAUGGUAUCCUUGAAGAGACUCGACGACCAAAAGUGUUGCUUGAAACUGGUCUGGGACCUCGCACGGUUGGCCUGCUUAUUACUUCUUCAUCAGCGCACCCCUCGUCAUGGGCUGACGGUACUGAAAGAGUGCUGGCCAGUGAUAUAGUAUCGGUUGACACAUCCCCCAUGACCGUCUCCCUUCCUGGCGUAUUGACGAGCGUUUCUGUGCUCGAAGCAUGAGAAUUGUUAGGUCGCGAACCAACAUUUCUGUGCACCCGUAACGGUUGAGUGGUAAACUGAGAGAGAGGUUUAUUUAGUGGGAGGCCCUCCAACGCCAUUCGCAUUGUCCUUGAAGGUAAUGUAGAAUGGUUGAGCAGGUUGUCAUUCUUGGUAUGACCAAAUGAAAUGUCAGCUUUAUAGCUCGUAGGAGUAAGGCUGAUCUUUGGAGAACUCGCAAGACUCGGGCCGCCAACAGAGGGUUUCGGAAACGUGAUGCGACUGAUAUGUGUUGGUGCCCCGAACGGGUCAAGAUCCUGUUCCGAAGACAGAGUGCUCCUGGCUUCCCACGCUGCCGCUCUUGACUUGACCUCGCCUCCUCCUGCCGUUUUCGUUUGCUUCGGCGUUAUCUCCCCCGUAUCAACAUCCGUCGGAGCUCGGCCAACUUGACUGGCGGAUCUUGAUGGGUUCAAAUCCUCCGAGUCGAAGCUCAGCAUCGUAUCCGAAUGAGGCAUGGCGGUAGAUUCGAUAUCAAUUCCUGGAGUAAGGAAAGACGUUGGAGGAAUUCGGCUUCGGGCAAAGGUUGAUAACUCUUUUUGAUUUUGAACGGGCGCUUGCCAUUCAAGAAUACGCUGUGAAGCCUCCGAUGAGGCGUACGACGUCGAGCGCUCGACCUCUGGUUGCUGGACAGAAGACUGUCGCCACGAUGUUUGAGACGGGGCCGUGUCUGCAAACAUGAGACUCACACUUUCUCGCAAUGGUGAGUCCUCUUUCAACCGCGGUCUAGACCGUGGUGAUUCCAAGUCAUUGUUCAGAGUGUGCAAUGGCCCUCCUGCAACCCAUUCGUCUCCAACCUUCUGAAUCGAUGGAAGUGAUCCGAACCCAGCGUCCUCAACCGUGCCUAUAGAGCCUCGAUGGGGGAUUGACAGAGGCGAGGAAUGAUGAGAAGAGUGACGGAGAGGAGAAGAAAUUGAGCCGAAUGGAGUUUCCGAUGGGGUGAUGGGCGGCAAGACUGGAGUCCUAGGCAAGAUACCCCUACAAACCCACGUCGGCAAUAGGUUACAUUUGUAAAUUACUUACCUUAUAGCAGUGAGCCAAGCAUUGCGGCCUUCUGACCCCUCUAGAGCAAUGUAGCUCCUACUUCUAUCUUCCCAUGUUAACUCAAUGACCUCUGCUCCCACUCCGUCCGGUGCCAUCGGAAUGCCCUUACUCUUCAACUCAUCCUUCUUCAUUACUCUCACAUCCAAGCAAUUCUGCAUGAAGAAUGUCUUGUCUGGGGGGGUUUGUGGAUUGGGCGCUGAAAUUUGAGAGAAGGGCACACCUCGGGCGGAUUUAGUGGAAGAGCCAGAGCAGCGACGUGGAGUAUUCAAACUUCCAGUUCGAGGGGUAGAGAAGACAGGACAGUAAGUGAUGGAGAGUGCGUCAGAAGUGAGCGUCCCCCACGACGGCAGCCAGCUAUCCCAGGCAGAGACAGAUGAGCACGGAGUGGGGAUGAGAUAGACGAUUGGAUCGGAUCGGAUCGUAGGCUGAGAGAAGAGCUUUAGUACAAGGUAAAUAUAGGAUGUACUUACCUUGAAAUCUGGGGUCCAUCUCAUCUCUGCAGAUCCCAUUCUGUCUUUGGGAAUGAACACGCCGAACCUGCCCUGAUUCUCAUCUAUCAAAGCUCCGUAAUGCUUCUUUGUUUCCUUUUCCUUCUCUUUCCCCUUUCCUUUUUUUCGUGCUCCCAAAAAGUUUAAUACAUCCUUCAAUGGAGAAACUUUCUGUUUCUUCCCCGAAGGGCUAUCUUGAGGAGAAUAAUGUGAUCCUGAAGGGGAGGGCGAAAGGUUAUUAUUCUGCCCUCGACCAGAUUUCGUUGGUGUACGAAGAUGAUUCGGGGAGUUGCGGGUGGAUGAAGGCAAUGGGUUGUGAGGAAGGGAUUUGGAGGGAGUGAAAUGUCGAGGAAGCCCAGUAAUGGGAUUAUCAUCGGGGGUGUCUUUUGGCGGAGGUAAAGGUUUUUUGUCGAGAUACUCCCGGCUGAACACGCCGUGAGCGUUUUGGAGAGCCGUGUGGACCUCAGGCUGGGUGGGUGUGGAUGAGCGAGACUCCCAUCGCUGGAUCAUUUUUUUUGUCGAACCUCUGUCUCUUCGCAAAGGUGGGGGGCCAUUUCUGGUAACUGGACUGUUAUCGUAUGCACUAUCUUGGGUCGGAGAUGGCAUGUAAGGAGUUGCAGCGAACGGCGGAUUUGUGGGAGUAGAGGGUGAUUCGAGACCCGUUGACUGAUCCACAGAG
rnacentral:sRNA from 1 species